GCGCCCGUAGCUCAGCCCGGAUAGAGCGUCGGACUUCGAAUCCGCAGGUCGUAGGUUCGAAUCCUACCGGGCGCGCCA
rnacentral:tRNA from 1 species